CCACCAUGCCCGGCCCUCCCUUUCUUUUGUGUCUUUGGAUUUGUCUUUGUGGAGAGGGUACCAGCCACCAUCCUGUGAGGAAGCCCAGAGCACAUGAAGAGACCACCUGCACAUGUUCAGAUCCACUGCCCCAGCUAAGAUCUCCGCUGACAGCCAGACCAAUCACCAAUCUUAGGAGCUGGCGAGCCUUCAGAUGGUCCAACCUUUGAGGCCCCCCAGAGGAGCCAGGUGGAGCAUAGAUGAGCCAUCCAUGUGGAUCCCUCCACCAAAUGGAAGAUUUAGGAGCAAAAUAAACAAUGUUGUCAUUGCUUUC
rnacentral:lncRNA from 1 species